rnacentral:rRNA from 1 species
AGUUUGAUCAUGGCUCAGAACGAACGCUGGCGGCAUGCCUAAUACAUGCAAGUCGAACGAGAUCUUCGGAUCUAGUGGCGCACGGGUGCGUAACGCGUGGGAAUCUACCCUUGGGUUCGGAAUAACGUCGGGAAACUGACGCUAAUACCGGAUGAUGACGAAAGUCCAAAGAUUUAUCGCCCAGGGAUGAGCCCGCGUAGGAUUAGCUAGUUGGUGGGGUAAAGGCCUACCAAGGCUACGAUCCUUAGCUGGUCUGAGAGGAUGAUCAGCCACACUGGGACUGAGACACGGCCCAGACUCCUACGGGAGGCAGCAGUAGGGAAUAUUGGACAAUGGGGGCAACCCUGAUCCAGCAAUGCCGCGUGAGUGAUGAAGGCCUUAGGGUUGUAAAGCUCUUUUACCCGAGAUGAUAAUGACAGUAUCGGGAGAAUAAGCUCCGGCUAACUCCG